rnacentral:lncRNA from 1 species
UUUUCAAAAAGAAAAAAAAAACAGAAAAAAAAUCUUUCAUAUAUGUGCAAUUGGCACCAGUUGCUAACAAGCGCGGCCCCUGCGGCAAUUAAGGACACCAGCACCAUAAGUCAUUGAUGCAACCAUGGAAGACGACUUGGCACCUAAGCAUGAAGCUCUAGCAUAGCUGGCCGAGGCCCCUGCUCCAGAUGGAGUGAAAUAGGCACCAUUAAGCAUCAGGUCGCCCUCUGAUCUCCAGUUCCAAUUCUUCCACUGGUAUUCAGCAGUUUCAACCCUCUUUGUUACCUGUCAAAACCAGUCCAUUUACAUAAAGGGGGAUCAGUUCAAUGAGGUCAUGGUUAAUAAAAAGUCAUCACUGGGUAGAUGUUGAAUGCUAGUAACUGUAUAUUACCUCCUUUGCAAAAGGAUUGAGCGGGGCGAGGUAACAAUUAUUUCAGAUCUUGAUGGUGCUGCCAUUUAGAUCGGCCAUCUCCUUUAUAUCUCUGCCGGAUACGGAACCAUUGAUUAUGUAAAAGCUUCAAGGAAAAGAUUGUGCGGACGAAAUUGCCCCUCAAAAAGUGACUUUUCAUCUCUCCUAAUGGUACAAAUACACGGAAAGACUAAAACGGUAUAGAUUUACUAGUUUAGUGACAUUUUUGGCCAAUAAAAAAGUUUAGUGAUCAGAACCGGCAUUUCUUAGUGACAUUUCGCGCAAUUUGCUCUUUUGAUUUUUUAUGGCUCUACACGAAGAAUACAUGGCAAUAAUCCAUUUUGUUUUUUGUAUUUGUUCUUAUGGCAAUUAAGGACACCUGCACCAGAAGUCAUUGAUGCGACCAUGGAAGACGACUUGGCACCUAAGCUUGAAGCUCUGGCAUAGCGGGCCGAGGCCCCUGCUCCAGAUGGAGUGAAAUAGGCACCAGUAAGCAUCAGGUCACCCUCUGAUCUCCAAUUCCAAUUCUUCCACUGGUGUUCAACAGUUUCAACCCUCUUUGUUACCUGUCAAAACCAGUCCAUUUACAUCAAGGGGGAUCGGUUCAAUGAGGUCAUGGUUAAUAAAAAGUCAUCACUGGGUAGAUGUUGAAUGCUAGUAGCUAUAUAUUACCUC